rnacentral:rRNA from 1 species
GUGCCCUUCGGGGAACCUGGAGACAGGUGCUGCAUGGCUGUCGUCAGCUCGUGUCGUGAGAUGUAGGGUUAAGUCCCGCAACGAGCGCAACCCUUGUCUUAAUUGCCAUCAUUGAGUUGGGCACUUUAAAGAGACUGCCGGUGUUAAACCGGAGGAAGGUGGGAUGACGUCAAAGUCCUCAUGGCCUUUAUGUCUAGGGCUACACACGUGCUACAAUGGGUGGUACAAAGAGCAGCUAACUCGCGAGAGUAUGCAAAUCUCAAAAAGCCAUCCUCAGUUCGGAUUGGAGUCUGCAACUCGACUCCAUGAAGUUGGAAUCGCUAGUAAUCGCGGAUCAGCAUGCCACGGUGAAUACGUUCCCGGGCCUU